GAUGAACGCUGGCGGCGUGCCUAAUACAUGCAAGUCGAGCGAAUGGAUUAAGAGCUUGCUCUUAUGAAGUUAGCGGCGGACGGGUGAGUAACACGUGGGUAACCUGCCCAUAAGACUGGGAUAACUCCUGGAAACCGGGGUUAAUACCGGAUAACAUUUUGAACCGCAUGGUUCGAAAUUGAAAUGCGGCUUCGGCUGUCACUUAUGGAUGGACCCGCGUCGCAUUAGCGAGUUGGUGAGGUAACGGCUCACCAAGGCAACGAUGGGUAGCCGACCUGGGAGGGUGAUCGGCCACACUGGGACUGAGGCACGGCCCAGACUCCUACGGGAGGCAGCAGUAGGGAAUCUUCCGCAAUGGACGAAAGUCUGACGGAGCAACGCCGCGUGAGUGAUGAAGGCUUUCGGGUCGUAAAACUCCGUUGUUAGGGAAGAACAAGUGCUAGUUGAAUAAGCUGGCACCUUGACGGUACCUAACCAGAAAGCCACGGCUAACUACGUGCCAGCAGCCGCCGUAA
rnacentral:rRNA from 1 species